rnacentral:rRNA from 3 species
GCCUGAUGCAGCGACGCCGCGUGAGGGAUGACGGCCUUCGGGUUGUAAACCUCUUUCAGCAGGGACGAAGCGCAAGUGACGGUACCUGUAGAAGAAGGACCGGCCAACUACGUGCCAGCAGCCGCGGUAAUACGUAGGGUCCGAGCGUUGUCCGGAAUUACUGGGCGUAAAGAGCUCGUAGGUGGUUUGUCGCGUUGUUCGUGAAAACUCACAGCUUAACUGUGGGCGUGCGGGCGAUACGGGCAGACUUGAGUACUGCAGGGGAGACUGGAAUUCCUGGUGUAGCGGUGGAAUGCGCAGAUAUCAGGAGGAACACCGGUGGCGAAGGCGGGUCUCUGGGCAGUAACUGACGCUGAGGAGCGAAAGCGUGGGGAGCGAACAGGAUUAGAUACCCUGGUAGUCCACGCCGUAAACGGUGGGUACUAGGUGUGGGUUUCCUUCCUUGGGAUCCGUGCCGUAGCUAACGCAUUAAGUACCCCGCCUGGGGAGUACGGCCGCAAGGCUAAAACUCAAAGAAAUUGACGGGGGCCCGCACAAGCGGCGGAGCAUGUGGAUUAAUUCGAUGCAACGCGAAGAACCUUACCUGGGUUUGACAUGCACAGGACGUGCCUAGAGAUAGGUAUUCCCUUGUGGC